rnacentral:rRNA from 1 species
UGCGCUGGUCGGCCAGAACGUAGAGGCAGCGGGUGGAGAUCUUUCUAUAGGAGGAGGGGUAGGUACUCGUAGACGUUCUCCGUAUCGUCCCGUGCGAGAUGUCCACUCCGUGACCGAGGCACUCUAGCCAGCUGGCGGGCACCACAACGGCAUAUACUUCAUACCUCUACAGUACCCACAUCUCAUACCGACGGCCUCUUCGGCCCUUCCAGCUGACCUCCUCUUCCUCGUGCCCCGAUGCCACUAGACGACACCCCCAACGUGAUCCUAAACGCUCCCCUCUUCCUCCCCUGUAGACCCUUCCAUGUUGUACUUCGUACCGUACUGCCGAAGGUUCCACGGGUUCGGUACCUCGAGAGGUUCUUCGAAGAGAGAAAGCGGCCGCGGUACCGGCAAGCGCCCCCGGCACACGAGAUACAGCCGAGGAAGCUGAGGGAGUUCCACAACAGUUUUCCGUUUGACAAAGAGUAUAUCCGUUACUACUACUUCACGGUUAUAGUUCUUCUUUCGCUGGACAGGCUCUCUCCAAUCCUUUAUUACACAGACUAAGACUAAGCAUACCUUCAGUUGUCUCAUUAUUUCCCAUAUAUACAAAGUAGAUAUAAUGAGUACCUUUUAAGACCCUACUUCAUACAUGGUAAGAGAAUUUAUAAAGUAAUUACGUACCCAUAUUUGACUUGUAACAUAUAACACUAGAUACCUCCUUUUUUGUGGUUUACGUGUAUCUACUCUUUAGAAUGGAAUAAGGCAACCGUUAAAAACAUUGUUUAAUGAGCAGGUCCAAUAGAUAAAGUUCUUGUCUGUAUACCUAUUAAGUUCUUGUCUGUAUCCAUACAACUUACUCAAAAGGACAGCCCGUUAAGUUUCCUACAUUCCCGGUAUACCUUUGCCGUGGUUUCGUUGAAACUUACUGUUUUUAAACGUUUAUCGUAGAGGUACAUACUAAUUAAGUACGUAAUGAUAACAUGGAGUUAGAAACAUAGUAGUGCUUGAAAAGAGAGUUAGCGGUUCGGUCAACCUAUCACCACUAGUGGAGUGUGAGAUCGAUGGAUAAUCGAAUUCCUGUCUCUGAGAUUUUCUACUAGCCUACCUCAUACGUAUAGACGGUUCAUUCAGGAGAAGCCUGGGAAGGUGGAGCGACCGGAGUGGUAACCUCUGAGCUGUGUUCUUGGCCGCGGCGGUGACACACAGACGACCACUGCGAGUGUGUUCUUAGGUCUCCGUCUUGGAACCAGGAGAGGGGCGCUUGUGGUCGAGAUACUACUACGCCGGCGCGGGACACCCGCCGUACUGACUGUGGUGGCAGGUACGGUACAAAACCGACUAGGGGGUUCCGAGGAACGGCUACAGGUUGGUCGUGGCGCGUUGGUUACCAGGACGGCGGUACUGCUACGGGUGGAUACACGACCAGAUCUAAAAACUGGACGGACGUUACCUGUUCCAGUAUGCCCGUAGACGAAAACUACACGACACACGAGAGAAAAGUGUUCACAUCGUUGUACUAGUAGCACAACAUCUUUGAUACGAUAUCAACAAGAAGCAUCUACAAAGGGAUGAACGCAUGAUUAUUUAUCUAGACUCUAUCAAUCUUCAGUGAGUGAUAUCAGCUAGACUUGAUGAAACACAGUC